rnacentral:rRNA from 1 species
AGGAUGAAGGCCUUCGGGUUGUAAACUGCUUUUGUACGGAACGAAAAAGCUUCUCCUAAUACGAGAGGCCCAUGACGGUACCGUAAGAAUAAUGCACCGGCUAACUACGUGCCAGCAGCCGCGGUAAUACGUAGGGUGCGAGCGUUAAUCGGAAUUACUGGGCGUAAAGCGUGCGCAGGCGGUUAUGUAAGACAGAUGUGAAAUCCCCGGGACUCAACCUGGGAACUGCAUUUGUGACUGCAUGGCUAGAGUACGGUAGAGGGGUGAUGGAAUUCCGCGUGUAGCAGUGAAAUGCGUAGAUAUGCGGAGGAACACCGAUGGCGAAGGCAAUCCCCUGGACCUGUACUGACGCUCAUGCACGAAAGCGUGGGGAGCAAACAGGAUUAGAUACCCUGGUAGUCCACGCCCUAAACGAUGUCAACUGGUUGUUGGGAAUUANUUUUCUCAGUAACGAACCUAACGCGUGAAUUUGACCGCCUGGUGGAGCUACGGCCGCAAGGUUGCAAACUCAUAUGA